rnacentral:piRNA from 1 species
UGAUUGCUUAUUUUUCGUUUCUUUAAUGAG